AAAAAGACAGCUAUUUAAACUGAUAAAAGUUAAUCUCAUAGUCACACAGGAUUCUCAAAACUCAAUCAGAGGACCCUAUAUUCAAAUAUUAAUAAUUGAAAUACCACACAGGUCAUAUUGUUCACAUGGAAGAGUUUUAACCCAAAAGUGUUAAUUAAGGUUAGUACAUAAGAAUAUAAAUACUCACUCAUUAGCUCUAGUUGAUGCGUUGCAUGAUCAUGCUGUACAUCUGCUGAUGGAAAGGAUCUGCAGGUGUAACGACCUACAUCUUUUCUCUUUCUGAGAAGCUUUACCUCCAGAGAACACUCCUUUGUAACAUGUAGUCUUCCUUUCUUGCCUUCAGACUUAAACUUCCCUCCUUCAAACAAUGUAUCAGUCGUACCAUUCUUGUAACUGAACAGCCAGGUAAUACUGGAACAGUCACUCGGAGCCCCAUCACAUGAUAGAGAGACACAAUCUCCAGUUCUGAACUCUGUUCUUCCAUGAUCUGAGGAGAAAGUUGAUAACACUUAAUCCCAUGUGUCAUUGAUUGGAAGGAUAUCUGUGAGACAGAACAAUCAGUUAUGUAAUGAUAAGCGGACUAUGCACCUUUUCAUUUGAAUAAAUAACUUCAAGGCCAUCAAACACAAACACCCACUUAUUACUUCACUAGUUAUUACUAUCUUGUACAUUCAAUAUUUUUGUCCUUACCUUUGUGAGUGACCAUAUCUGUCCCCCUGUCUGUCCCCCUGUCUGUCCGUCUGUCUGUCUGUCUGUCCGUCUGUCUGUCUGUCUGUCUCUCUGUAUUUUUGUCUGUCUGAUAACUCAAACUACUGCUCACUGUGGAGAGCAAGGCUUCUUAUAGCGAGUGUUCUCUCACUUC
ensembl:lncRNA